UGUAAGAUGUACAUUGGUUUGGUCCA
rnacentral:piRNA from 1 species